rnacentral:rRNA from 1 species
GAUGAACGCUGGCGGCGUGCUUAACACAUGCAAGUCGAACGGGAUCCCAGGAGCUUGCUCCUGGGUGAGAGUGGCGAACGGGUGAGUAAUGCGUGACCGACCUGCCCCAUACACCGGAAUAGCUCCUGGAAACGGGUGGUAAUGCCGGAUGCUCCAGUUGGAUGCAUGUCCUUCUGGGAAAGAUUCAUCGGUAUGGGAUGGGGUCGCGUCCUAUCAGCUUGAUGGCGGGGUAACGGCCCACCAUGGCUUCGACGGGUAGCCGGCCUGAGAGGGCGACCGGCCACAUUGGGACUGAGAUACGGCCCAGACUCCUACGGGAGGCAGCAGUGGGGAAUAUUGCACAAUGGGCGCAAGCCUGAUGCAGCGACGCCGCGUGCGGGAUGACGGCCUUCGGGUUGUAAACCGCUUUUGACUGGGAGCAAGCCCUUCGGGGUGAGUGUACCUUUCGAAUAA